AGUGCAUCGGAUCAGGAGCAAUCUUCUCAGUGUCUGGUUACAUGUCUUUAUUUCCCCCCUUCUAUUUAAUCCUCUCUAGUCCCUUAAUUAAUUUAAUUCCCCUUUUUUCCUGUUUGAUUUCUCACCCUACCCCUUUCCCUGCCCUGUGGGAAGAUUCUCCCUGUACCUGUGAGCGCUGCCUGUGCGUAAUCCUCCUGGGCUUGCCUUUCCCAAUAGGGAGAGAGCCCCCAUUAGGGGCUUUCUUUUGCAAAGAGGUUUUCCCCAUUUUUGCCUGUUUAAUUGUGGGGCUAGUCAGGGCUGUUCCCAGCUUAGCUGGAAUCACUUCGUUUAUAGUAUCCCCAAAGGUGGCUUUAUUUUGGGUGCAUGCAGUGCUGUUGGCUGAGUUUUAAUUUAGCCUUGGGCGGGAGCACUAUAUUGAGUUCCUUUAAUAUUGCAAUGAGACAAUAAAAGGCAGAGAGCAGAAGCAGGGAGGCCUUCACGGCCUGCUCGGCCUGCACAUACCAUUCAAGCCUAAGCCUGCUACAGUUAGCAGUACAGUAAUUGUUAAGUCUCUCUGACAUGUGACUCACUUUCUCUAUAAGAAUUUAUCUGUUUGUUUGCAGGCUCACUUGUUGCUAAUGUAUAUCUUAGGCAGACAGAGUGGAGCCAGAGGCUCUCUGUGCCUCCAGUGAGCACUCUGUGUAUGCUCUUUAACUAUGCUGUUUCAGAACAAGUUUAUUUUCUUCAAGUUUGUUUUGCCCUGAUAGUGGCAAUUGCCAUUUUAGAGACGAGCCAUUGUGGCUUAGUGGCUAGAGCGCAGUACUAGGACCUGGGAGACAGGGUUCAUAUCCCCCACUUAGCCAUUGUUAUCACAAAACAAAACAAGCUGCUCCUUUUGGACUAUUCUGUUGCUGGGUAGUUCGGCCCACUUGUGAUAUUGCUCCCAAAAAGAACUUUGGGUUUUCUUGAGGAGGUGCUUCCCUCUAAAGGGCAAACAGGGGUACCUGGACAGGCGGUGGGCUGCCUCGAAUUUGUUAUCUCAUUGGAAACAUUUAUGUCUGGCCUAGCAGGUGAUCUUAGGGCUUGGCCCUAGAAUUUGAUGGCCUCUGGCAGCGUUUCUGGCCUGAAUAGCUUCCCCAUGUGGUGCACAAAGCAUUGGUUUCACCAGUUCCUCACAUUUAGUUUUGCAGACUAUGACAGAGCCUUUGCAGAUGCCUCCAGAGCUUGCCUCUCCUGCAGAGGUUGACUUGCUGAUGCCCUAGGUGCCUUCUUCCAGAAGGAAGCGUCUUCGGAGGCGGCGAUCCAGGAGCAGGGAAAAGGGGAGCAGGGAUGAUGCUUACACCUCCUUGCAGGUACGUCAAACCUGGGUCUUUAGGGAUCAUCCUGGAUAGCUCAGCUGGUCAGCGUAUGGUGCCGGUAAUACCUAGGUUGCAGUCUUGGUCCCUGUAUGGAACAGCUGCAUGUUCCCCCAUCACUCUACCCGGUCACUGAGGUCCAGCGCCGAGGGCCUUCUGGUGGUUCCCUCACUGAGAGGCCAAGUUACAGGGCACCAUGUGGAGGACCUUCUCGGUAGUGGCACCCGCCAUGUGGUACGCCCUCCCAUCAGAUGUCUACUACCAGACUUUUAGAAGACAUCUAAGGCAGCCCUGUUUAGGGAAGCCUUUAAUGUUUGCUGCAUUACUGUAUUUCAAUCUUUUGUUGGAAGCUGCCCAGAGUGGCUGGGGAACAAAUAGAUGAUGAUGAUGAUGAUGAUUAUAUUGUGGGAGAGUGGACCAGAUGAUCCUCAGGGUCCCUUCCACCCCACUAUUCUUUACGUUGCAAUUCAAUAUGGGAAUGCAGGGCUGCCAUCAUCCCCUCAGCUUGCUAGGAUCGCAGGGACGGGGACAUGUGGACCACUUGUGCAGCUCCACAUUUCAAAUGGAAAUUCCCUGAGCUAUAGAACCUUAAGCUGGUAUGCAGGAAGCUGGCCCGGCAGCAGCUUUGUUGGGACUUUUUAGGGUUUCUGGCCGGCGUUGGCCCUGCAAAUUUACACAUCAUGGUGGCAACACAAGGCAGGGCAUUUUGCCCAAUGUGGGGGCUGGGGGCUAGCAAGCAAUAACUCAAUACC
rnacentral:lncRNA from 1 species